rnacentral:piRNA from 1 species
UACUCUUGCCCUUGAGUACCUCCCACU